rnacentral:rRNA from 1 species
UACGAAGGGGGCUAGCGUUGCUCGGAAUCACUGGGCGUAAAGGGUGCGUAGGCGGGUCUUUAAGUCAGGGGUGAAACCCUGGAGCUCAACUCCAGAACUGCCUUUGAUACUGAAGAUCUUGAGUUCGGGAGAGGUGAGUGGAACUGCGAGUGUAGAGGUGAAAUUCGUAGAUAUUCGCAAGAACACCAGUGGCGAAGGCGGCUCACUGGCCCGAUACUGGCGCUGAGGCACGAAAGCGUGGGGAGCAAACAGG